rnacentral:rRNA from 1 species
AUUGAACGCUGGCGGCAGGCCUAACACAUGCAAGUCGAACGAGUGGCGGACGGGUGAGUAAUGUCUGGGAAACUGCACGAUGGAGGGGGAUAACUACUGGAAACGGUAGCUAAUACCGCAUACCAUCGGAUGUGCCCAGAUGGGUUGAGCUAGUAGGUGGGGUAACGGCUCACAUAGGCGACGAUCCCUAGCUGGUCGGAGAGUAUGACCAGCCACACUGGAACGGAGACACGGUCCAGACUCCUACGGGAGGCAGCAGUGGGGAAUAUUGCACAAUGGGCGCAAGCCUGAUGCAGCCAUGCCGCGUGUAUUAAGAAGGCCUUCGGGUUGUAAAGUACUUUCAGCGAGGAGGCGUUACUCGCAGAAGAAGCACCGGCUAACUCCGUGCCAGCCGCCGCGGUAAUAC